CUUCAUCAUAAGUGAAGAAACGAACUUGUUGCCUAAUGAAUACUGCAUACUUUAUUUGAUAUGCUCCAUGCUAUUAUACAGUGUAAGUCUGGGCUUUGCGCUACCACUUUCUCCACCCUCAUAUAGAUAACUGACACAAGCUGCUUGUUCCUCCAAUAAGGAUGGCAACUGGAGUGGUUUAAUCAUAGAACACAAAGCAGGG